UUCAAAAUGGCAGAUUAAUGUAAUAGAUUUAGGCUCUAUAGAAGAGAAAUUCUUUUG
rnacentral:tRNA from 1 species